CAAGAAACUUAUCUACUACUACUACUAAAUACAUGUAAUACUACUACUACACAUAUUUGUCGUAAUUUAGGACACAGACCAGGGCUAAUAAAGCUUAGACAUGAGGGUAAUUUCUAUGCACAUAGUACAUCACCAAUUGGAUUUAACUGUACAGCUUCUGAUUGCGAGUGUGUGGUGUUUAAAUGAGUUUAAAAUUGUGUUCUUUUUGCAAGAUUAAUGCGUGUAUUUUUAUCUGAUUGCAGGUCUGUGGACUGAAAGUUUCUAGACAUGGAAGUGAACAUGAAAUGGUUCACGAUGCACAUCCCAACAUCUGGAUCUCAUCGGAUAUUUAAUCGGUGUUGGAAAGGUCUGGAGACAUGAAGAAGCUGUGAGACAUCAACGAGGUUUAUUCCUUCGUGAUGAUCAGAAUCGACUCUUCAGACAUCCACAAAAAGAUGGUCCCGAUGACGUCGUCGGAUCACAUCUUCGUAUUUUGGACUCUGCUGUAGAAACAAGAGUCCAGAAAAGCCUGAAAUGAAGAAACUGGAGUCCAGAAAAGGCAGACUUAAGAUGCGUACGCCCUCCUGACUGACUCCUCGAUGUUUUUCUGGCAAAGUGGGGUUGGUCGUGGCUGUUCACGUCACAGAAGGUUCUAACAAAACGGUUGUGGAUCUGGACGUGGAGGAAAGUUUGAAGGAAAGAGACUGAGGAAAGAAGACGGAUUUCACGUCUUAAAAUGCUGUGAAGCUUUUUAGGCAAAGAGGAAGAAACCAAACAUCAGUUUAAACUCAAGUCUUUGGACGGUGAUGCAACCUGUGGAAAAGUCAAUUUGUCGUACUUCUGCACGGAUGUCAAUAAAGUCUAAAUAUUUAA